rnacentral:rRNA from 1 species
UACGAAGGGGGCUAGCGUUGCUCGGAAUCACUGGGCGUAAAGCGCACGUAGGCGGCUUUUUAAGUCAGGGGUGAAAUCCUGGAGCUCAACUCCAGAACUGCCUUUGAUACUGAGAAGCUUGAGUCCGGGAGAGGUGAGUGGAACUGCGAGUGUAGAGGUGAAAUUCGUAGAUAUUCGCAAGAACACCAGUGGCGAAGGCGGCUCACUGGCCCGGUACUGACGCUGAGGUGCGAAAGUGUGGGGAGCGAACAGG